rnacentral:rRNA from 1 species
GAUGAACGCUGGCGGCGUGCUUAACACAUGCAAGUCGAACGAAGCACUUGAGAUUGAUUCUUCGGAAGAUUUCUCUUGUGACUUAGUGGCGGACGGGUGAGUAACGCGUGGGUAACCUGCCUCACACAGGGGGAUAACAGUUGGAAACGACCGCUAAUACCGCAUAACCCGCUAGGGCCGCAUGGCCCGGACGGAAAAGAUUUAUCGGUGUGAGAUGGACCCGCGUUGGAUUAGCUAGUUGGCAGGGUAACGGCCUACCAAGGCGACGAUCCAUAGCCGGCCCGAGAGGGUGAACGGCCACAUUGGGACUGAGACACGGCCCAAACUCCUACGGGAGGCAGCAGUGGGGAAUAUUGCACAAUGGGGGAAACCCUGAUGCAGCGACGCCGCGUGAGUGAAGAAGUAUUUCGGUAUGUAAAGCUCUAUCAGCAGGGAAGAAAAUGACGGUAC